rnacentral:sRNA from 1 species
ACUUUGCGUUAAGGAUGGCAGUGAAAAUCCUUUUUUUCUCGUUUUUUAACGAGAUAAAAAAGAUUGUAACGGAAAGCCUGACCUCGC